rnacentral:rRNA from 1 species
AGGCCCGGGUAAUCCUUGAAACUGCAUCGUGAUGGGAUAGAUUAUUGCAAAUAUUAAUCUUCAACGAGGAAUGCCUAGUAAGCGCGAGUCAUCAGCUCGCGUUGAUUACGUCCCUGCCCUUUGUACACACCGCCCGUCGCUCCUACCGAUUGGGUGUGCUGGUGAAGCGUUCGGAUUGGCGUUAGUGAGCGGUUUUCCGCCUCCUCUCGCUGAGAAGUUCGUCAAACCCUCCCACCUAGAGGAAGGAGAAGUCGUAACAAGGUUUCCGUAGGUGAACCUGCGGAAGGAUCAUUG